CGAUGCCAACUACUACGAUGCCAACUACUACGAUACCAACUACUACGAUGCCAACUACUACGAUACCAACUACUACGAUGCCAACUACUACGAUACCAACUACUACGAUGCCAACUACUACGAUGCCAACUACUACGAUACCAACUACUACGAUGCCAAUUACUACGAUGCCAAUUACUACAUUACCAACUACUACGAGGCGAAUAACUACGAUGCCAACUACUACGAUACCAACUACUACGAUGCCAAUUACUACGAUGCCAACUACUACGAUGCCAACUACUACGAUACCAACUAUUACGAUGCCAACUACUACUAUGCCAACUACUACAACACCAGUUACUACAAAGCCAAGCACUGCUGAAGCAAGCAUGACCACUCAAGAAGUCCCCUUAAAUUUAAAUAAAUUACAGGAACUGGGUAUUGUGUUGAUGAAUGCUGACAGUGUUUUGGUGGCCGUCAAAACGGAACUGCCUGAUUUGUUAAUCACUCUUCUCAUCAAAGGACCUCAUUUUCGUCAUCUGAAUAAGGUAUCAUGUGAAGAUAUUAAGCCGUGUCUUUUGUGCAGCCGUGGAGAUAACUGCCUUGGUCUUGUUUUCUUUGGCUGAUCCCAUUAAAGUCAUUUUCAUUGCUCUUGUGUGUGUGCCAAUAGCCUUUAAUUUCAUAGAGCUGAUAAUCGUCUGUCUGCGAGUUGAACCCAGUCAUGAACUAAAGGAGAUGAGUGAGUAUAUCAUCAAAGUGUGUUCUGUCAUCCACUGGAUUUUUACAAUCGCUCUCAUUUUUCUUGGUGUUUUGGCGUUUGACAAGUAUGGAAAGGAAAGGAAAGACUCUUGGCUUGUGAAAGUGAUGAUCGCUUACACAGUCUGGAUUCUCUUGUUUGUAAUAUGGGUACAUGUAAGCUGUAUUCCCACAAAAGGCAUACUAGGAAGAUCAAAAAACAGUCGGCGAUCGAGCCAACAAAGACAAACGAAGAUGCUCAGAGCAGCAAAAUGGACUGUGAUCGCUGUCCCAGUAAUCCUCAGCGUUGGAAACUUGUGUUUUGCUGUAGCUAUCUCUUUUGGGAUAUUAUCGUGAAAGGAAAAGUAGACCUGGUCAUUCGCAUGUGUCCCUCCUGGGAGAUGGAUCCCUCUUCACUUGCCUUCCUGAAGUUUCAUCCUUUUUUCCCCAGAUAAUCUGGGUUAAUUUCUGUGUAGUUUUGUGUUGUUGGAAGGAUCCAUGGAUUUAAAUGUUGAAUGCUGAAUAGACUGCAAGGGGAGGUGGAAUAUUUGUAAUUUAUAAUUUUGGGAUAGGGUUGAAAUCCUGCUUGAUUUGGCUCUGGAACUUGCUGGUUUAAGUCCCGGAAAGGACCAAACAUGAGUUCUGGACUUGUACCUGGAGAAGUGACACUUUGCCUCUUGGGCACUGUUUAGGUGCCCUUGAGAAACCCUGCACUGCUCCCCUGGCACUUUAAAGUAGCUGCCCAAUGCUUUUAAUACUAGGAUAUGUUUGUAUACUGCUGCUGUGACCUAAAAUAAACCCAUUUAUCUUAGAUAUUUAAAUGUUACCGUUGUGAAAUGGGUUUUCUGCUUUAAUGAGUUGUACAUCCAGCACAUAUAUGUGAAUCUGGUCUCCAAAUAAAGGCAGCAGGUUCAAAAAGCUGCUCCUUCUAGAGUCAUAUACCAGUCAGUCUAAACAGACUGAAUAUUGUUUCAGCGAUUCAAUUUUCCAAGGCAGUUUCAUAAAUUAGACCCUAACAUUUCUUAUCAGAGAUAAGACUGUCAGCACGUUCAAAUAUUUACUGAGUUACACUUGCUUGUAGUUAUGUAUUUUUCCGUACCAGGCAAGUCCAGCGUUCUGAAGGCAUGAUUUAGUACUAUGAUCAGUAACUGUGUGGAAUAUGCUGCUUUGGUGAUAAAACAGGUGUGGUGUAUUAAAACUGUUCAUACAUACAGUUAGUUAAAUCAGUUCAUACAGUUAUUUACUGUCUGAGGUCAUAGAGAGUGCAGAGAGUGAUGUUGUACAACAGGGUGUUGUAUAACAAACCUCUGGAAUAUGUCAGAAGGCCUCCAUGGAUGAGUAAGAAAAAGACAAACGUAUAUCUCACCUUAUUUGGGUACACAUUCUUAGAGAACAUAGCAUUUCCGGACCAAGACCACCAGACUCAGAGACAGUUUUAUACCACAGGCUAUAAGACUGCUGAACUCCUCUGUGAAUGUACUCACAUCUGUUUAUAGUACACACAUACAUAUAUAUAUAUAUAUAUAUAUUAUACAUAUCUGCCAUAUACAUCUGUUAUACAUAAUAUAUGCAUCUGUCCAUACCUCCUCAUUCAACAGUGUAAAGUAUUUAAAUACUCUCAAUGUAUUCCACAUAUGUAUAUAUUUCACAUCCUCAAAUCUUUAUUGUUGUUAUUGUAAAUAUUCUUCUCUCUUUUUGCACUAUUUUAUUUAUGUUAUUUGCACCAUGUAUGUUGAGUUGUUGGAGGAGCACGGGACAUAAGAUUUUCAUUGCCAACAUAUACGUUGUAUAUGCUGUGCAUAUGACCAAUGAAACCUUGAAACCUUGAAACCAUUUGGUCAUACACACAUUUUCGCCGAUAAAUUGCAUGCACAAAGAGAUUUCAGGGGGACUUCCACAACUGGCUCUGGGAACCUCAUAUUGCCCGUGUUGGUGUAUGAUACU